GACAGAUUUUCUGUCAGAGCUGGGUCUGCAAAAGGAGGAGGAAGAACAUAGUUCCUGGGACUCUGAGUCACACUCUGAAAACCCCGAUAUGCUAGAAGAAAAACCAAACAUGGCCACGCAGAAGGAGGAAGAGGAAGAGGGGGGGUCUGCUGCUCAACAAG